rnacentral:rRNA from 1 species
CCUACGGGUGGCAGCAGUGAGGAAUAUUGGUCAAUGGACGCAAGUCUGAACCAGCCAAGUAGCGUGAAGGAUGACUGCCCUAUGGGUUGUAAACUUCUUUUAUACGGGGAUAAAACGAGACACGUGUAUCUGUUUGAAUGUAUCGUACGAAUAAGGAUCGGCUAACUCCGUGCCAGCAGCCGCGGUAAUACGGAGGAUCCAAGCGUUAUCCGGAUUUAUUGGGUUUAAAGGGAGCGUAGGCGGUCUGUUAAGUUAGUUGUGAAAUUUUGAGGCUCAACCUUGAAAUUGCCAUUGAUACUGGCAGUCUAGAGUGUAGUUGAGGUAGGCGGAAUGUGUGGUGUAGCGGUGAAAUGCUUAGAUAUCACGAAGAACACCGAUUGCGAAGGCAGCUUACCAAGCUGCUACUGACAUUGAGGCACGAAAGUGUGGGUAUCAAACAGGAUUAGAUACCCGAGUAGUC